rnacentral:rRNA from 1 species
UACGUAGGGUGCAAGCGUUGUCCGGAAUUAUUGGGCGUAAAGAGCUCGUAGGUGGUUUGUCGCGUUGUUCGUGAAAACUCACAGCUCAACUGUGGGCGUGCGGGCGAUACGGGCAGACUUGAGUACUGCAGGGGAGACUGGAAUUCCUGGUGUAGCGGUGAAAUGCGCAGAUAUCAGGAGGAACACCAAUGGCGAAGGCAGCUCGCUGGAACGGUACUGACGCUGAGGCGCGAAAGCGUGGGGAGCGAACAGG